rnacentral:rRNA from 1 species
AGGACGAACGCUGGCGGCGUGCUCAACACAUGCAAGUCGAGCGGAAAGGCCUUUCGGGGUACUCGAGCGGCGAACGGGUGAGUAACACGUGAGUAAUCUGCCCAUCGCUUCAGGAUAGCCAUCGGAAACGGUGAUUAAUACUGGAUAUGACAUUCCUUCGCAUGUUGGGGUGUGGAAAGUUUUUUCGGCGGUGGAUGUGCUCGCGGCCUAUCAGCUUGUUGGUGGGGUAAUGGCCUACCAAGGCUUUGACGGGUA